UACGGAGGGUGCGAGCGUUGCUCGGAAUCAUUGGGCGUAAAGCGUACGCAGGCGGCCAUUCAAGUCGGGUGUGAAAGCCCAGGGCUCAACCCUGGAAAUGCGCCCGAGACUGGAUGGCUUGAGUGCGGGAGAGGGAAGCGGAAUUCCUGGUGUAGAGGUGAAAUUCGUAGAUAUCAGGAGGAACACCGGUGGCGAAAGCGGCUUCCUGGCCCGACACUGACGCUCAUGUACGAAAGCGUGGGGAGCAAACAGG
rnacentral:rRNA from 1 species